AGAGUUUGAUCCUGGCUCAGGACGAACGCUGGCGGCGUGCUUAACACAUGCAAGUCUAGGGGGCCCGCAAGGGUCACCGGCGAACGGGUGCGUAACACGUGAGCGACCUACCCUGGAAUGGGGGAUAGCCGGCCCAACGGCCGGGUAAUACCGCAUACGCUCUUUGAGCUUCAUGGCUUGGAGAGGAAACCUUUUGGGUUCAAGGAGGGGCUCGCGGCCUAUCAGCUAGUUGGUGAGGUAACGGCUCACCAAGGCGAUGACGGGUAGCUGGUCUGAGAGGAUGGCCAGCCACAUUGGGACUGAGAAACGGCCCAGACUCCUACGGGAGGCAGCAGUGGGGAAUAUUGCGCAAUGGUCGAAAGACUGACGCAGCGACGCCGCGUGGAGGAUGAAGCCCCUCGGGGUGUAAACUCCUGUUGCUCGGGACGAACCUCUCCUUUCGAGGAGACUGACGGUACCGAGUGAGGAAGCACCGGCUAACUCUGUGCCAGCAGCCGCGGUAAUACAGAGGGUGCGAGCGUUGUCCGGAAUCACUGGGCGUAAAGGGCGCGUAGGCGGCUUGGUAAGCGUGCGGUGAAAGCUCAGGGCUCAACUCUGAGUCUGCCGUGCGAACUGCCGAGCUGGAGCACGGUAGAGGCACAUGGAAUUCCGGGUGUAGCGGUGGAAUGCGUAGAGAUCCGGAAGAACACCGGUGGCGAAGGCGGUGUGCUGGGCCGUUGCUGACGCUGAGGCGCGACAGCGUGGGGAGCAAACAGGAUUAGAUACUCUGGUAGUCCACGCUGUAAACGAUGGGCACUAGGCCCUUGGGGGAGCGACUCUUUGAGGACCGGCGCAAACGCAUUAAGUGUCUCGCCUGGGGGAGUACGGACGCAAGGCUGAAACUCAAAGGAAUUG
rnacentral:rRNA from 1 species